rnacentral:rRNA from 1 species
CCUACGGGAGGCUGCAGUGGGGAAUAUUGCACAAUGGGGGCAACCCUGAUGCAGCGACGCCGCGUGAGUGAAGAAGUAUUUCGGUAUGUAAAGCUCUAUCAGCAGGGAAGAAGAAAGACGGUACCUGACUAAGAAGCCCCGGCUAACUACGUGCCAGCAGCCGCGGUAAUACGUAGGGGGCAAGCGUUAUCCGGAUUGACGGGGUGUAAAGGGAGCGUAGACGGCCGUGCAAGUCUGCAGUGAAAGCCCGUGGCUCAACCGCGGAACUGCCUUGGAGACUGCAUGGCUUGAGUCCUGGAGAGGCAGGCGGAAUUCCUGGUGUAGCGGUGAAAUGCGUAGAUAUCAGGAGGAACACCAGUGGCGAAGGCGGCCUGCUGGACAGAAACUGACGUUGAGGCUCGAAAGCGUGGGGAGCAAACAGGAUUAGAUACCCGUGUAGUC